rnacentral:lncRNA from 1 species
GUGAGAUCAUGGAUAAGGCACCGUGAUGGCAAGGGACAGAGAAAUCCCAGCUCGCUGGGCCGGGAAGGCUCUCUUUGAACUAAGUUUUGAAAGAAGUAGAAUGUGCUGCCCUCUUGGCCUAGGAGGAGAAAGGGAAUUCCGGGCAGAGGGGAUGGCUGGGAAGCAAACCUGGAGGGUAGGAAACAGAUCGGCUGGUACAGCAAAUGGCUGGAACAUCAUUUGAGCGAUGGGAAGAGAUAGGAGUUUCUCUGACUGAUCCCAAGAUCCGAUGUUGAAGAAGUGUCAUAUGAGUGCCCCAAAGAGUCAGAAGCAUCCAGAAGAGCCUGUGGUGAACAGCAUCAUGACACAGUGGCGUUUCAUUGGGCCUGGAGGUUUCAGAUCUCCCAAAACUAUAAGUCAGCUGUCAGCCUGUGGAAAUUAAUUUUUCGACACCUGUGAAACCUUGCCAGUGAUCUCCUAAGGUCUUAGCUAUCCUAUAGCUGGUGUCUUCCGUGCCUGAUCGCCUGUGAAUACAGCAGAGAAGGACCCUCGGGACCCCCACUGCAGCCACUUGGACCCUCCAGUAGCUGAACUGUUCUUUUCAGUGUUACCAGGAACAUUCUGGACCUUAUCACCUCCCUCGUUUCUGGCCUGAUACUUGAAAGCCAUAGUGGAAGUUACCAAGGGCCACAUGUAAGGUGCUUCCCUAAAAAUUCAAGUCACUGUGAGCCAAUGACGUGAAAACAGUCACAAUGUUUCACAGUUAAGCAGCAUGAUACUCCUCAUUUUUAGUGUUUUAAUGUAAUAAAUGUUGUGUCUUCCUUAUGUUAUUAUCGUUUAUCUUUUUUUUUUUUUUUUU